UCCUACGGGAGGCAGCAGUGGGGAAUAUUGCACAAUGGGCGCAAGCCUGAUGCAGCAACGCCGCGUGAGGGAUGACGGCCUUCGGGUUGUAAACCUCUUUUAGUAGGGAAGAAGCGAAAGUGACGGUACCUGCAGAAAAAGCACCGGCUAACUACGUGCCAGCAGCCGCGGUAAUACGUAGGGUGCAAGCGUUGUCCGGAAUUAUUGGGCGUAAAGAGCUCGUAGGCGGUUUGUCGCGUCUGCUGUGAAAUCCCGAGGCUCAACCUCGGGCUUGCAGUGGGUACGGGCAGACUAGAGUGCGGUAGGGGAGAUUGGAAUUCCUGGUGUAGCGGUGGAAUGCGCAGAUAUCAGGAGGAACACCGAUGGCGAAGGCAGAUCUCUGGGCCGUAACUGACGCUGAGGAGCGAAAGCGUGGGGAGCGAACAGGAUUAGAUACCCUGGUAGUCCACGCCGUAAACGUUGGGCGCUAGAUGUAGGGACCUUUCCACGGUUUCUGUGUCGUAGCUAACGCAUUAAGCGCCCCGCCUGGGGAGUACGGCCGCAAGGCUAAAACUCAAAUGAAUUGACGGA
rnacentral:rRNA from 1 species